rnacentral:rRNA from 1 species
AUUGAACGCUGGCGGAAUGCUUUACACAUGCAAGUCGAACGGUAGAGGGGGCAACCCCUCGAGAGUGGCGAACGGGUGAGUAAUAUAUCGGACCGUGACCAGUCGUGGGGGAUAACGUAACGAAAGUUACGCUAAUACCGCAUACGAUCUAAGGAUGAAAGCGGGGGAUCGCAAGACCACGCGCGAUUGGAGCGGCCGAUAUCAGAUUAGGUAGUUGUGGUGGUAAAGGCUCACCAAGCCAACGAUCUGUAGCUGGUCUGAGAGGACGACCAGCCACACUGGAACUGAGACAUGGUCCAGACUCCUAAGGGAGGCAGCAGUGGGGAAUUUUGGACAAUGGACGCAAGUCUGAUCCAGCCAUUCCGCGUGCAGGACGAAUGACUUCGGGUUGUAAACUGCUUUUGUACAGAACGAAAAGGUCUCUAUUAAUACGGGGGGCUCAUGACGGUACUGUAAGAAUAAGCACCGGCUAACUACGUGCCAGCCGCCGCCGUAA